GAAUUCUCAGGGAUUAUAAUCCUCACCAAUAUAACAAGCCUCCAAAGUCAUAUUUUUUAACUUUUUGAAAUGCCCUUCCACCUAACUACCCAUUUGACACCUGCAGCCAUCCUCUAGAGAGGCAGACAAGAUCGAUCGUCUCACUUUACAGAAGUGCAAAGACUAGCUGGCCUAAUGACACAGCCAAUGAACAGAUGAAGGAGGCCUACAACCACCCAGUCUUCCCUACUUCUCCUCACUCCUCCCCUCCGACCUCCUUACGUCACCAGUGACCAAUGGAUCACUGUGUGGCCGUUCAGCAUCUUCCUAUGCUGUGUCAGGCAAGAGAACUUCUGGAAAGAGAGCAUCUCUUGUUUAUUAAGGAGACUGGGUGUCCUUGUAGAAAGUCCUGCCAUGCACAAUCCCAGUCUUAACUAAUGUGUUUCACCGUACUGAAGUCCAAUGUGAAUAACAAAAUGAAGAAUAUCAGGAUGAUUCGAGACCAGGAAUACUACAGAUGUCCAACACUUCCACCUGGAAUCCCCAAAGAGGCCUGCUGUUAGCCUCCACACUGGUUGGUGACCUGGCAUGGCAGAAAUGACAGAAAUCUCAGAAGACUGGCCUCAUGAAUAAUCUUCAGUAUCAAUGUCACAAAGCAAGCCUUCUAGAAAUUACCUGACUCUGCAGUUCACUCUGCUGCUUCAGAUGAAAAUUUUCAGGUCUGUCUGCCACUGUAGUGAAGGACUGCUUUGGGUAGUGUCUGUGGAGAAACUUUUUAAAGGACAUAGUUAAAAUAUUGUGCUACAAA
rnacentral:lncRNA from 1 species